AUGAACGCUGGCGGCGUGCUUAAUACAUGCAAGUCGAACGGAGAAUUUGCAGCAAUGUGAGUUCUUAGUGGCGAAUGGGUGAGUAACACGUAGGUGACCUGCCCUGAAGUGGGGAACAACAGCUCGAAAGGGCUGCUAAUACCGCAUACGGCUCUAAGGGUUAGAGACCUUAGAACUAAAGCAGUAAUGCGCUUCAGGAGGGACCUGCGGUCCAUCAGCUAGUUGGUGGGGUAACGGCCUACCAAGGCGACGACGGAUAGGGGACCUGAGAGGGUGAUCCCCCACACUGGCACUGAAAUACGGGCCAGACACCUGCGGGUGGCAGCAGUAGGGAAUAUUGCACAAUGGGCGAAAGCCUGAUGCAGCAACGCCGCGUGCACGAUGAAGGCUCUAUGAGUCGUAAAGUGCUUUUCGGGGAGAUGAGAAAGGACAGUAUCCCCGGAAUAAGUCACGGCUAACUACGU
rnacentral:rRNA from 1 species